UACAGAGGGUGCGAGCGUUGUCCGGAAUCACUGGGCGUAAAGGGCUCGUAGGUGGCCAACUAAGUCAGACGUGAAAUCCCUCAGCUUAACUGGGGAACUGCGUCUGAUACUGGAUGGCUUGAGUUUGGGAGAGGGACGCGGAAUUCCAGGUGUAGCGGUGAAAUGCGUAGAUAUCUGGAGGAACACCGGUGGCGAAGGCGGCGUCCUGGACCAACACUGACACUGAUGAGCGAAAGCCAGGGGAGCAAACGGG
rnacentral:rRNA from 1 species